ACAUCCAGCGAACUUGGCAGAGAUGCCUUGGUGCCUUCGGGAACGCUGAGACAGGUGCUGCAUGGCUGUCGUCAGCUCGUGUUGUGAAAUGUUGGGUUAAGUCCCGCAACGAGCGCAACCCUUAUCCUUUGUUGCCAGCGAUUCGGUCGGGAACUCAAAGGAGACUGCCGGUGAUAAACCGGAGGAAGGUGGGGAUGACGUCAAGUCAUCAUGGCCCUUACGAGUAGGGCUACACACGUGCUACAAUGGCGCAUACAAAGAGAAGCGACCUCGCGAGAGCAAGCGGACCUCAUAAAGUGCGUCGUAAUCCGGAUCGGAGUCUGCAACUCGACUCCGUGAAGUCGGAAUCGCUAGUAAUCGUGGAUCAGAAUGCCACGGUGAAUACGUUCCCGGGCCUUGUACACACCGCCCGUCACACCAUGGGAGUGGGUUGCAAAAGAAGUAGGUAGCUUAACCUUCGGGAGGGCGCUUACCACUUUGUGAUUCAUGACUGGGGUGAAGUCGUAACAAGGUAGGCGUAGCGAG
rnacentral:rRNA from 1 species